rnacentral:rRNA from 1 species
ACUCCUGCGGGAGGCAGCAGUGGGGAAUCUUGCGCAAUGGGCGAAAGCCUGACGCAGCCAUGCCGCGUGAAUGAUGAAGGUCUUAGGAUUGUAAAAUUCUUUCACCGGGGACGAUAAUGACGGUACCCGGAGAAGAAGCCCCGGCUAACUUCGUGCCAGCAGCCGCGGUAAUACGAAGGGGGCUAGCGUUGCUCGGAAUUACUGGGCGUAAAGGGAGCGUAGGCGGACAUUUAAGUCAGGGGUGAAAUCCCGGGGCUCAACCUCGGAAUUGCCUUUGAUACUGGGUGUCUUGAGUAUGAGAGAGGUGUGUGGAACUCCGAGUGUAGAGGUGAAAUUCGUAGAUAUUCGGAAGAACACCAGUGGCGAAGGCGACACACUGGCUCAUUACUGACGCUGAGGCUCGAAAGCGUGGGGAGCAGACAGGAUUAGAUACCCGUGUAGUCCCA